rnacentral:sRNA from 1 species
GCCGGGCGGUGGUGGCGCAUGCUUUUAAUCCCAGCACUUGGGAGGCAGAGGCAGGCGGAUCUUUGUGAGUUCGAGACCAGCCUGGUCUACAAGAGCUAGUUCCAGGACAGGCUCCAAAACCACAAGAGAAACCCUGUCUCGAAAAACCAAAAAAAAAAAAAAAAAGAAUUUCUCUGUGGCUUGGAGCUUGUCCCGGAACUCGCUCUGUAGACCAGGCUAGCCUCGAACUCAGAGAUCCACCUGCCUCU